UAUAGCAGUUGUCCUGAAAACAUAAAAUGUGCAUUUUAAUGCUAAUUGAAUUACUUUAAAUGUGGUAGGUCUACAUGACUGUAGACAAAGGAAGGCCAGACAAGAUAUGAGAUGCAAGAGUAACUCCAAAUGCCUCUUUCUCCCUUUUCUCUUUGUAAUCUUUCUAGGCCCGGCCUUAGGGUAAGACCGGACGAUGUCCAGGCAGAAUUCGAGGGCAUCUUCCUCAGGCCAGACAGCUUCGUCAGGCCCGGCAACUCGUCCAGUGGCACCUGGAGAAGCGCUGACCUCGUCACCUGAAGCCUUGGGAGGAGGACGGUCUGUGGAAUGGGAUCCGGUGAAGUCAUUUCCCUCAAACGCGGAGGGUUUAAAAGGCCAGAUCCCUGAACUUGAGAACCCGGAGGUGAUGUUCUUCACUGUUGCAGCCUCUGGUGGGACGGGUGAUUGUCCAGCAGGCGGAGCAGCUUCGACUCCUCGGACACGGGUGUGACUCCGCUGAGGUCACUGACCUGACCUGCUUCUGCCCCAUCUGGGCGCACCUGGACAGUGGUGACCCCUGUAAAUAGUUGUGUGAGCAUAGUUGUGUAUAUAUAUAGUGAUGUGUAUAUAGUUGUUUUGAUAUGUAUAUAGUUGUUAGCAUCGUUUCUACUAGUUAAGUGUAUAUCGUUUUUUUCAUAUUUAUAUGGUUGUGAGCAUAGUUUAUUUUUAUAAAUGUAUUGAUGUGUUUUAUAUUAAUAAAGUUCAUAUUAAAUACCGGUUUCAUUAAUGUUCCAAAUAUCCUUGGCCUGGAACUGGUGCCUGUCCAGCACCGUCUUUCAAUUUUGGUAGAACAAGUUGACAUUGUUUUGAUUGAAGCUGGACAACCGUUGUUGGCUAGUGGCCUCUGGACGCCGAAGGGGGAAGCUGCUACUGCGCUCCAUGAAGGAGGUGAUCCAGUCCUUCCUCGACCAGGAUGCAGGGAAUGGGCAGCUGAAAUGCACGGGGUCGUAAACAGUUGAUGUACAUUUGUGUGUUUAUGUUUAUGUUAUUUGUUCAUAUUUAUUAAUUAAACUAUGUGCAUAGCAUACAUGUGUGCCUGUCCAAAAAUGUAUGUAGCCCUUUUCACAACACUGACCUCAUUAG